CUGGUUCUAGGUUUAGUUCCUGCUUUGUUCUUGGCUGCUGCUGCAGCAGCAGCUUUGACCAAAGCUGCCCUUUUGCAUCCUCAGGCAUAGAUUUGAUAUGCAUCCUCUUAAGACAUCGAAUAACACCGUCAUAGAACUGUACUGUGAAUGUUCCCUCUUUAUUAAUUGCCUCAAUCUUUGCAGGGUAAUAUCGACAAUCUGUCCAACGAGCUAGGACUUCUUCUCCAGGCUUAAAAUCGACAAAUUCUUCAUCGUCUUUCAGCCCUUCUUUCCUUAAUGCUGGUCGCUCCAAGGGUCGCAACCUGUUGCUGUCCCAGUAUAUCCACUCAUCAUAGCGAUGACUCCAACGUUCAAAAUGGACCAGCAUCUUCCCCUCUUCAUAAUCUAUCUUCUCAAUACGAGAUGGAUACCAUUUUUGUAAAUAGUCCAGUGCCUCCAAACGAGCACCAAUCUCAAAUGUGAUUCCCGGACGAUUUGGAGGCUUUUUACUCAUCUUGAUAUUUUCUUUUCCACUACCGCCUCCUCCGACUCUCAAGACAGCGGCAGGGCCUGUGACGGCCCGCAGCCCCGGCGCGGCACCCGCUGCUCCCGCUCGGCGCGGCGCGGGGUGUCCGGCGCGGUGGCCGCCCUCAGAGCCCCAUCCUCCCCGCGCCCCGCCACCGCGUCACCGCUCUGCGACGGCUCCGCGAAGCGCGAUAGGGCGCCGCCAUGUCGCCACCGCCCCCGGCACGUGACUGCAGAGCCAGUGCCGCGUGACGCGGGCGGAGAUAGGAGAAGGGAGGGAGACAAAGAGAUGCUGCUGCGCGCGUGCGCGGCAGUGACUGACAGCGGUGGUGGAGGCGGGCAGUUGGAAGCGUUUGGUGCGGCGCUUAUCGCCUCGGUUUGCUUUGACUGGGAGAUAAGAGCUCUGGCUCUGGUUGGGUUCUGUGCUGCUGUUCCUCCAGUGCUCUGGGAACCAUCACACGGGGACAAAAAAGCAAUUCCACCUUCCUUUUCCUUUGCUUAACACAGCUGAGAAUACCGUUAACCUUUGUGGUAAGAGCACACUGCUGGCUCAUGCUCUACUUGAGAGUCCACCAGGACACCCACGUCCUUUUCUGCAAAUCUGCUUUACAGCUGCAUGGCCUCCUGUGCAUCCUGGUGCCUGGAAUUGGUCCCUGGAUUCAGGAUUUUAAACAGAAGCACAGAAUGGCCUGGCUUGGAAGGGACCUCAAGGAUCUUGAAGCUCCAACCCCUGCCACAGGCAGGGCAUCCAACCUGCACGUUUAAUACCAGACCAGAUUUUGCAGGGAUAAAUGCUUCCAGCUUUGUUGCAAUGGCAAGAACAGCAUCACCGCACUCCUACUGGUGUGAUGUUCACAUAACAGUCAUGUUCCCACGAGCUUGCAAAGACGAAACACAAGCUUCCCACUGCAUGCUGUGUUUCUGGAGAAUGCAUAAUCUGGGUUACAGUCAGUUUGUGAGCAGACUUAAUAGCAGAAAGCUAUUAAGUAAACCAAGUAAAAAGGACGUUUGAGUGGGGCUCGGUCUGCCUCUAGGGGUUUUGAAGCUGGGGCAUAGAGGAGUAUGAGCUCCUUCAGAAGUAGUUGGUACAGAAGCACAGCUCUUGGCACCGUGAUUAUCUGUGCUCCACUAGGGUUUCAUAGGACAGGUUCCCUCUGCACAUCAUGCAAUACAUAAAGAAAGUGGGUAGUGUUGAUCAUAAAAUGCACUCAAAUAGAACCUCAGGUGCCUAUGAACCGUGGAAGAGCUUUGCUUAGUCCCUGUGAGGCUUCCUCAUGUUGUAAGAGGUGUAGUUUCAAUGUGCUUUUCCUCGGAGGAUAUAUUACAGAACAGUGAGGUUUGUUGUGCUGGCAAUGAGACCUCCCCGGCAGCAAUGGACAUGCCGCAUCAGGAUGCUGUUAGAUGCUUCUGCCUGAGGAGAGGAAUAUGGAGGAAAGAUAGAAGAGCUACAGGAGAUGUGGCUGAGCACAUGGGGGUGGUUGAGUCAUGCCAGGGGUUGAAUGCCAGAGAUUGUCUGGGUUAGGCUUUGGUGCGGGAAGUCUCAGGGUGAUGUGUGGCACCAUCACAUCACCUCAAUCGGGAGAUGGAGGCCAAGCUGGUAGCAGGCUUCAGAGGCACCAGGCCUAGGGUAUUUGGUUAACUGAUAAAAGCUCAUCUGCACACCCACAGAGGGGCACAGAGAGACAAUGGCAGCAGGGAAACUCCAAACAACAACUUCCCAUAAGCCUUCAGCCCAUCAGAGCCCCAUUUCCAGUAAGUAGAGCCCAGCUGUGGGAAGGAUCAUCCCUGUAUACAUGUAUAUGUGACAUGUACGUGUCACUCAUGGACCUCCAUCCUGCUCAGCCAGAGUGAGGAAGAGUAUCCAAGAGCUUUUUCUAAUUUUUAGCAGAAAAGAUCAGAUAUUUAAUCUAAUCUCUUAGGAAAACAGAGUAUAUAUGGCUGCAUUCCUAUCUGCUAUGUCUUUUCCCUUUCUCCUCUUACCUAUGAAACUUCCGUUUCACUUCAAGCUUGGCAGAGGGAUAGAGGCCUCACAGUAUUACCCCAGCCUGUUUUGUUAAAGUGCUCAGGUGGGAAGAGAAGGGCAACUGAGGUGACAGAGAAGCUCUGUGCCUCCACCCCUCCAGACACCAGCACAGGCAGGCGGAUGCACAAGAGUAGAUCUUGUUAUUUCUGCUCCUCGCAAUAUUUGGUGCUGAAUUUUUUUACAAAGCACAUUGCUAG
rnacentral:lncRNA from 1 species